rfam:Pseudomassariella vexata strain CBS 129021 BCR38scaffold_2, whole genome shotgun sequence.
GUCGCUUUGGUGGAGUGGUUAACACGUUGCCCUGCUAUAUCUCCUGUGGAUUAGUUGUUAGGCAAUGCCUUCGGGCGCGUAGGUUCGAAUCCUGCAGGCGACG